UUCUAUAUUCUUCUAUUGGAGAAUUUAUACAUAGAUGUAGUAAUUGCUAUUUUUUUAUGAAGUCCUUACUAUGUGGCAGGCACUGUGCUGACUGGUUUACGCAAACAUUCUUUACUAAUCUCACAACAAACCUGUGAUUGAUGGAAUUACUGUCCCUAUUUUACAGAUAUGGAGACCAGGACUUGGAGAGGCUAAGAAAUACCUUCAAGAUCAAAUAAGGACAGUGACAAGAUUCAUACCCAUCUGCCUGAGUCUUAAGCAUUUUGCUACUUUGAACCUAGGUCCAUCCUGCUCAUCUUUAGAGCCUCGCUGUUCUUUAUCCCCGGUAGCCAGCAGGGUACUGAGCCCUUGGUAUAUGGCAGCACAGACACGCAACAUCCUUUGCCGUGAAAAGAGGAAAACGUAAAUGUGAACACAAACGCAGUGCAUCAUUUGGGACUCUUUGUCAUUGCUCAGUCGCUACGUCCUGUCUGACUCUCUGUGACCCCGUGGACUGUACCCUGCCAGGCCUCUGUGUCCAUGGAAUUUUCCAGGCAAGAAUACUAGAGCAGGCUGCCACUGCCUACCCCAAGAGGUCUUCCCAACCCAAGGAUCAAAUUCGCAUCUCUUGCUUCUCCUGCAUUGCAGGUGGAUUCUUUACCACUGGUGCCACCUGGGUGGCGAGUAUUUCACACGUGCCUGAAUGACAGCCUGCACUGGUGCAAUCUCUAUUACACAGACUCUUUUCUAACAUACUAGGAAUUAUUAUCCAGAAUUAUUAUUGCCCUCUGUUUUCCCAGACCUUACUUUCAGUGCCACUUCCCUGCCCCCCACAGCAUCUGCGCCCCCCUUCACCACCCUAUCUGCCAGAACCCCCUUUGCUUCUCUAGAUCUCAGCCACAGACCUUGUGCUCCCAACCCAUGGGCUUCCCAGAGAGACCGCAGGUUGGCUGCCAACACCCUGAAGACAGCAAGGCUGCCCAGUCCCCCAAGGCCUGCCAAGGACAGAUUCUACCUGCAACGUGGACCCAGAGAGUCAUUCUCGAACAAAGGAACCCCAGAGGCCUGAACUUACUCAGAAUUGACUUCUGCGUCCUUCUAUUAUUGGGACUGACAUUUGAAGUGUACUGAUUUAACCAUCCUUCUUCAGCCCUUUUGCUCUCUCUUAUAAAACAUUACAAGCCCUUCAGAAGCAAUGACAGAGGAACGGAGGUGAGUGAUCAGGGACCACAAAAAAGAUGCCUGAGUGAGCAUGCAGUGACAUCUGAGCCAGAAGGAAACUUCUGUUAUUAAACAUUUUUAAAGCAGAACCUCAAAAACUCUAAAAUCCUUCAUGCAUUGUUCAGUCAAGAAAAUAAAAAUUAACAAGAUGCAAUGUGUAGAAUGUUU
rnacentral:lncRNA from 1 species